rnacentral:lncRNA from 1 species
GGAAAUACUGACCCCAUAAACCUAAAUCUCACACACGGUUUUGGACGUUUAAACGAAUGGAUUUAACAGCCUUUUGGAAUUCAGCCUGUUUGUCAUGACUGUCCAAAGUAUGAUAAUCACAUGAGAGUGCUCGUUGCUACGGAUGUCAUUUGACUCAUCAGAGAAAAUCUGUCUAAAAGAAAAUAUCCAUGUGACCAAAUCCAUUUCAUUAUUGAAUGGCUUGAUGGAUUUCCUUUACUCUGAUUCAUACCAAAGCUGUCCUUCUCAACCAAAGCAAGAAAGGAUCCUGCAUGAGUCAAUCCCAGAAUGCAAUUUUUACAUCACCAACAGGUGAAGAAAACCUCAUGAAUAGCAAUCACAGAGACUCGGAGAGCAUCACUG